GGGGCUAUAGCUCAGUUGGGAGAGCGCUUGCAUGGCAUGCAAGAGGUCGUCGGUUCGAUUCCGACUAGCUCCACCA
rnacentral:tRNA from 6 species